rnacentral:rRNA from 1 species
GCCCGAGUUGUAAUUUGCAGAGGAUGCUUUUGGCGCGGCGCCUUCCGAGUUCCCUGGAACGGGACGCCAUAGAGGGUGAGAGCCCCGUCUGGUCGGACGCCUAGCCUCUGUAAAGCUCCUUCGACGAGUCGAGUAGUUUGGGAAUGCUGCUCUAAACGGGAGGUAUAUGUCUUCUAAAGCUAAAUACCGGCCAGAGACCGAUAGCGCACAAGUAGAGUGAUCGAAAGAUGAAAAGCACUUUGAAAAGAGGGUUAAACAGUACGUGAAAUUGUUGAAAGGGAAGCGCUUGUGACCAGACUCGGGCGCGACGAAUCAUCCGGCGUUCUCGCCGGUGCACUUCGCCGCGCCCGGGCCAGCAUCAGCUCGCCGCGGGGGACAAAGGCGCCGGGAACGUGGCUCCCCAGGGAGUGUUAUAGCCCGGCGCGCAAUGCCCCGGGGCGGGCUGAGGUUCGCGCGUCCGCAAGGAUGCUGGCGUAAUGGUCACCAGUGACCCGUCUUGAAACACGGACCAAGGAGUCGUCCUCGUGUGCGAGUGUUCGGGUGUCAAACCCCUACGCGCAAUGAAAGUGAACGCAGGUGAGAGCCCU